GGCCUUGUAGCUCAGUUGGAUAGGAUGUUAUCUGUACUAAUGCCUUCCCCUUGCUGGCGUGGGUUCGAAUCCCACCGAGGCCA
rnacentral:tRNA from 1 species